rnacentral:rRNA from 1 species
UUGUGGAGCGAUUUGUCUGGUCAAUUCCGAUAAUAAACGAGACUAGCUUACUAAAUAGUUCGAGGACCCCCACAAAGGGGUCCAGCUUAAACUUCUUGGAGGGGACAGGUGGCGUUUAGCCACACGAGAUUGAGCAAUAACA